GCCAGCGUAGCUCAGGGGUAGAGCACACCCUUGGUAAGGGUGAGGUCGUGGGUUCAAUUCCCGUCGCUGGCUCCA
rnacentral:tRNA from 1 species